rnacentral:rRNA from 1 species
GACGAACGCUGGCGGCGUGCUUAACACAUGCAAGUCAACUUGAACUUCGGUUUGGGUGGCGGACGGGUGAGUAACGCGUAAAGAACUUGCCUCACAGUUAGGGACAACAUUUGGAAACGAAUGCUAAUACCUGAUAUUAUGAUUUUAGGGCAUCCUAGAAUUAUGAAAGCUAUAUGCGCUAUGAGAGAGCUUUGCGUCCCAUUAGCUAGUUGGAGAGGUAACGGCUCACCAAGGCGAUGAUGGGUAGCCGGCCUGAGAGGGUGAUCGGCCACAGGGGGACUGAGACACGGCCCUUACUCCUACGGGAGGCAGCAGUGGGGAAUAUUGGACAAUGGACCAAGAGUCUGAUCCAGCAAUUCUGUGUGCACGAUGAAGUUUUUCGGAAUGUAAAGUGCUUUCAGUUGGGAAGAAAAAAAUGACGGUACCAACAGAAGAAGUGACGGCUAAAUACGUGCCAGCAGCCGCGGUAAUACGUAUGUCACAAGCGUUAUCCGGAUUUAUUGGGCGUAAAGCGCGUCUAGGUGGUUAUGUAAGUCUGAUGUGAAAAUGCAGGGCUCAACUCUGUAUUGCGUUGGAAACUGUGUAACUAGAGUACUGGAGAGGUAAGCGGAACUACAAGUGUAGAGGUGAAAUUCGUAGAUAUUUGUAGGAAUGCCGAUGGGGAAGCCAGCUUACUGGACAGAUACUGACGCUGAAGCGCGAAAGCGUGGGUAGCAAACAGG